rnacentral:rRNA from 1 species
GUCGUACGGGUUGAAUCGCAAGAUUUUACCUAGUGGCGGACGGGUGCGUAACACGUAAGAACCUACCUUUUGGAGGGGGAUAACAUCGGGAAACUGAUGCUAAUACCCCGUAAUAGCUGAGGAGUGAAAGCGGUUUUCCGCGCCAAGAGAGGGGCUUGCGGCUGAUUAGCUAGUUGGUGGGGGUAAAAGCCUCCCAAGGCCACGAUCAGUAGCUGGUUUGAGAGGACGAUCAGCCACACUGGGACUGAGACACGGCCCAGACUCCUACGGGAGGCAGCAGUGAGGAAUUUUCCACAAUGGGCGAAAGCCUGAUGGAGCAAUACCGCGUGGAGGAAGAAGGUUCGUGGAUCGUAAACUCCUUUUCUCAGAGAAGAAGAUCUGACGGUAUCUGAGGAAUAAGCUCCGGCUAACUUUGUGCCAGCAGCCGCGGUAAUACAAGGGGAGCAAGCGUUAUCCGGAAUGAUUGGGCGUAAAGCGUCUGUAGGUGGUUUUUUAAGUCUACUGUCAAAUACGUUGGCUCAACCAACGGCAGGCAGUAGAGUACUAAAGAACUAGAGUGCGGUAGAGGUAGAGGGAAUCCCUAGCGUAACAGUGAAAUGUGUAGAUUUUAGGGAGAACACCAGCGGCGAAGGCGCUCUACUGGGCCGAUACUGACACUGAGAGACGAAAGCUAGAGUAGCGAAUAGGAUUAGAUACCCUAGUAGUUCUAGCUGUAAACGAUGGAAACUAAGAGGGGGUAACCCCCUUCUGUAGCUAACGCGUUAAGUUUCCCGCCUGGGGAGUAUGCUCGCAAGAGUGAAACUCAAAGGAAUUGACGGGAGUCCACACAAUAGGUGGAUUAUGCGGUUUAAUUUGAUGCAACGCAAAGAACCUUACCAGGGUUUGACAUGUCUAGUAUUUUUCAGAAAUGGAAAAGUGCUCUCUUUCAUAGAAAGAGAGAACUAGAACACGGGUGGUGCAUGGCUGUCGUCAGCUCGUGCGUUGACGUGUAUGGUUAAGUCCUGCAACGAGCGCAACCCUCGUCUUUAGUUACUUUCCAAGUUCUCUAAAGAGACUGCGCGCGCAAGCGCUGAGGAAGGUGAGGAUGACGUCAAGUCAGCAUGCCCCUUACACCCUGGGCGACACGCGUAAUACAAUGGUUGGGACAAUAAGAUGCUACCCUGCAAAGGCAAGCCAAUCUGCUAAACCCAACCCUAGUUCGGAUUGUAGGCUGCAACUCGCCUACAUGAAGCCGGAAUCUAUAGUAAUCGCCAGUCAGCCAUAUGGCGGUGAAUACGUUCCUGGACUCUGUACACACCGCCCGUCACACCAAGAAAGAUGGCAGUGGAUUAAGUUAUUAGUCUAACCUUUGGAAGACGG